UGGGGAAUAUUGGACAAUGGGCGCAAGCCUGAUCCAGCCAUGCCGCGUGGGUGAAGAAGGCCUUCGGGUUGUAAAGCCCUUUUGUUGGGAAAGAAAAGCAGUCGGUUAAUACCCGAUUGUUCUGACGGUACCCAAAGAAUAAGCACCGGCUAACUUCGUG
rnacentral:rRNA from 1 species